CAAGGAAUAGUUUAGUUGAGAAUGCUAGCUUUGGGGGCUAGAGGUGGGGGUUUAAAUCCCCCUUCUUUGA
rnacentral:tRNA from 1 species